rnacentral:rRNA from 1 species
AGAGUUUGAUCCUGGCUCAGGACGAACGCUGGCGGCGUGCCUAACACAUGCAAGUCGAGCGGAGAUGUAGCAAUACAUCUUAGCGGCGGACGGGUGAGUAACGCGUGGGCAACCUGCCUUUUACAGGGGGAUAACACAGGGAAACUUGUGCUAAUACCGCAUAACAUCCAAGGAGGACAUCCUCAUUGGAUCAAAGGAGC